CUACGGGUUGCAGCAGUGGGGAAUAUUGCACAAUGGGGGAAACCUUGAUGCAGCCAUGCCGCGUGUGUGAAGAAGGCCUUCGGGUUGUAAAGCACUUUCAGUGGGGAGGAAGGGGCGAUGCCUAAUACGCAUUGUCAUUGACGUUACUCACAGAAGAAGCACCGGCUAAGUCCGUGCCAGCAGCCGCGGUAAUGCGGAGGGUGCAAGCGUUAAUCGGAAUAACUGGGCGUAAAGCGCACGCAGGCGGUUAGAUAAGUCAGAUGUGAAAUCCCCGGGCUCAACCUGGGAACUGCAUUUGAAACUGUCUGACUAGAGUCUUGUAGAGGGGGGCAGAAUUCCAGGUGUAGCGGUGAAAUGCGUAGAGAUCUGGAGGAAUACCGGUGGCGAAGGCGGCCCCCUGGACAAAGACUGACGCUCAGGUGCGAAAGCGUGGGGAGCAAACAGGAUUAGAUACCCCAGUAGUC
rnacentral:rRNA from 1 species